UGGAAGUAUAAAAAUGUAACAAGGUCUUCCGUAGGUGAACCUGCGGAAGGAUCAUUA
rnacentral:rRNA from 1 species